rnacentral:rRNA from 1 species
CCCUUAGAUGUUCUGGGCCGCACGCGUGCUACACUGAACGGUUCAAUGGGUAAGGUAGUGCGAAAGCAUGACCUAAUCUCGAAAUCCAUUCGUGCUGGGGAUAGAAGCUUGCAAUUAUCCUUCUUGAACGAGGAAUACCUUGUAAGCGUGAGUCAUCAUCUCACGCUGAAUACGUCCCUGCCCUUUGUACACACCGCCCGUCGCUCCUACCGAUUGAGUGUUCCGGUGAGGCUUUGGGAGAAUGGCCUCAACAUGAGUUUAUCGUGUUUUGCCGUUUGAACUUAGUCAAACCUUAUCACUUAGAGGAAGGAGAAGUCGUAACA